rnacentral:lncRNA from 7 species
GGCGGCGUGCUGGCAGCCUGGGCCGUCGCGUAUUGCCGCCAGCCAGGUUUGUCAGAAUCGGAUCCAUGCAUUUGGUGUGGGAUACUGCAACAUCAGCUGAUGAAGUUUCAGCACGCUGUCCAAUCCAACUCCGUUCUCAUUGCGUGUUCAAUCUACUGAAGCUAGAAAUUCCGCUCUUGGUUAGUCUGUCUUACGAGACUUGAGAUUCGCAUUGCGCGUGUUCAAAAAAAAGAAAAAAAGAGAGGGUUCUGGGUACAGCUGCAGGGAAGAGGGAAAUGAUAUCUUGUGGAGAAACAAGUAACCAUUUUGCUCUACUUGCUGGUGAUCUGAUUAACCGGAUGAACCAUGCCCAUUUUGCAGUUUGGUUAGAUUGAGCCGUGAACUGUGAACACGUUCUAUCUUAACACUACAGAAAAACGCCCAGUUUCCGACGGCCUAAACCGUCGGAAAUAAAUCCUAAACCGACGGAAAUAACUACUUCCGACGGCUUAAGGCGGGUCCCGUCGGAAGUAACGCCGUAGGGGAUACCCAGUCGGAAGUACCCGCGUUUCCGACGGGGCCGUCGGAAGUAAGUUUACUUCCGACGGCCAGGGCGGGACCGUCGGAAAUAAAGCGAGGUGGGCCCCGCAGACGGCCGGCCGCCGACGCCUGCCGCCGUCACAGCUUACUUCCGACGGCCCCGUCGGAAAUAAAGGUCGUCGGAAGUAAUUAAAAAAACAGAGAAA